AUGGAUCGCCAUGAAAUGUGGCAAACAUUCAUGUUCCUCUCAGGAGGAACUCACUACUUUGGUGAUCCCUCCACUGUCCCACAGCUUCUUUAUAGUCCUCACUUUUAACCUUUCCAGUUCCUUAGUGUACAAGUUAACGUCUGCCACAUUGUCAGUAGGUACAGUAAGCAUAGCAUUGUAUGAGCUCUACAUAAGAGAAACUUGUUGAAUGUGACUCUCAGAUGGAUUAUAUGUGCACGAGACCCAUAUUGUUCUUGUCAUGUAAUCUUGGGGGAUUUUAACUUUAACUUCUCGGUCACAAUUUGAAGAAUUGCAACACAGGUUUGAGUUCUUCAGAUCACGUCCUUCCUCAGCAAUAUUUCCAGCCUCAACAAUACUCAAUUAGAUAUUUUGCUGAAAAAAAAAAUGCUUUGUGAAUGGUGCAGCCAAAAGACUCUGUGAUGGACAAAGAAAAGAAGCCCAGCAUUCAGAGCGCACAAGCCAAUACGAGGCGGCUACACAGUUCCAUGACACCUCAGAUCCACUCGGGUCCACUGUAGCUACGUAGUUCUGAACCGAAUUCGGGGAAAUUGAGAGAAGUGGGGUGAAAAAAGUUUGAGGCUGGUGUUGCAGUGGUUGACGGAGAGCUGUAG